CACGCCCUAAACGAUGAUCACUCGUUGUUGGCAAUUAUAUCGUCAGCGACUAAGCGAAAGCAUUAAGUGAUCCACCUGGGGAGUACGAUCGCAAGGUUGAAACUCAAAGGAAUUGACGGGGGCCCGCACAAGCGGAGGAGCAUGUGGUUUAAUUCGAUGAUACGCGAGGAACCUUACCUGGGUUAGAACGCAGAACGACGUUUCGGGAAACCGGAAUUCUCUUCGGAGCGAUCUGCGAGGUGC
rnacentral:rRNA from 1 species